GACGAACGCUGGCGGCGUGCUUAACACAUGCAAGUCGAACGGAAAGGCCCUGCUUUUGUGGGGUGCUCGAGUGGCGAACGGGUGAGUAACACGUGAGUAACCUGCCCUUGACUUUGGGAUAACUUCAGGAAACUGGGGCUAAUACCGGAUAGGAGCUCCUGCUGCAUGGUGGGGGUUGGAAAGUUUCGGCGGUUGGGGAUGGACUCGCGGCUUAUCAGCUUGUUGGUGGGGUAGUGGCUUACCAAGGCUUUGACGGGUAGCCGGCCUGAGAGGGUGACCGGCCACAUUGGGACUGAGAUACGGCCCAGACUCCUACGGGAGGCAGCAGUGGGGAAUAUUGCACAAUGGGCGGAAGCUGGAUGCAGCAACGCCGCGUGCGGGAUGACGGCCUUCGGGUUGUAAACCGCUUUCGCCUGUGACGAAGCGUGAGUGACGGUAAUGGGUAAAGAAGCACCGGCUAACUACGUG
rnacentral:rRNA from 1 species